AGUGAACGCUGGCGGUAGGCCUAACACAUGCAAGUCGAACGGCAGCACAGUAAGAGCUUGCUCUUACGGGAGGCGAGUGGCGGACGGGUGAGGAAUACAUCGGAAUCUACUUUUUCGUGGGGGAUAACGUAGGGAAACUUACGCUAAUACCGCAUACGACCUACGGGUGAAAGCAGGGGAUCUUCGGACCUUGCGCGAUUGAAUGAGCCGAUGUCGGAUUAGCUAGUUGGCGGGGUAAAGGCCCACCAAGGCGACGAUCCGUAGCUGGUCUGAGAGGAUGAUCAGCCACACUGGAACUGAGACACGGUCCAGACUCCUACGGGAGGCAGCAGUGGGGAAUAUUGGACAAUGGGCGCAAGCCUGAUCCAGCCAUACCGCGUGGGUGAAGAAGGCCUUCGGGUUGUAAAGCCCUUUUGUUGGGAAAGAAAAGCAGCAGGUUAAUACCCCGCUGUUCUGACGGUACCCAAAGAAUAAGCACCGGCUAACUUCGU
rnacentral:rRNA from 1 species